GACGAACGCUGGCGGCGUGCUUAACACAUGCAAGUCGAACGGAAAGGCCCUGCUUUUGUGGGGUGCUCGAGUGACGAACGGGUGAGUAACACGUGAGUAACCUGCCCUUGACUUUGGGAUAACUUCAGGAAACUGGGGCUAAUACCGGAUAGGAGCUCCCGCUGCAUGGUGGGGGUUGGAAAGUUUCGGCGGUUGGGGAUGGACUCGCGGCUUAUCAGCUUGUUGGUGGGGUAGUGGCUUACCAAGGCUUUGACGGGUAGCCGGCCUGAGAGGGUGACCGGCCACAUUGGGACUGAGAUACGGCCCAGACUCCUACGGGAGGCAGCAGUGGGGAAUAUUGCACAAUGGGCGGAAGCCUGAUGCAGCAACGCCGCGUGCGGGAUGACGGCCUUCGGGUUGUAAACCGCUUUCGCCUGUGACGAAGCGUGAGUGACGGUAAUGGGUAAAGAAGCACCGGCUAACUACGUG
rnacentral:rRNA from 1 species